rnacentral:rRNA from 1 species
CCUACGGGAGGCAGCAGUGAGGAAUAUUGGUCAAUGGGCGGAAGCCUGAACCAGCCAAGUCGCGUGAGGGAUUAAGGCCCUGCGGGUCGUAAACCUCUUUUGCCGGGGAGCAGUGGUCCGGACGCGUCCGGCCCGGGAGAGUACCCGGAGAAAAAGCCUCGGCUCACUCCGUGCCAGCAGCCGCGGUAAUACGGAGGAUCCAAGCGUUAUCCGGAUUUAUUGGGUUUAAAGGGUGCGUAGGCGGAUUGAUAAGUUAGAGGUGAAAUGUUCGAGCUUAACUCGGGAACUGCCUCUAAUACUGUAGAUCUAGAGAGUAGAUGCGGUAGGCGGAAUGUAUGGUGUAGCGGUGAAAUGCUUAGAGAUCAUACAGAACACCGAUUGCGAAGGCAGCUUACCAAGCUAUAUCUGACGUUGAGGCACGAAAGCGUGGGGAGCAAACAGGAUUAGAUACCCGAGUAGUC